AAUAAAUAUAGUUUUAUUAAAAGAGAUUAAAUGGUAAAGCAUGAAAUUUAAAAAAUUUGGCGGUACUUAUAAUUUAGAGGAACCUGUAUAGUAAUUGAUAGUCCACGAUAAGAUUUACUUAAUAAUAAAAGUUUAUGUAUUGCUGUUUUGAAUAUUUAAUUAAGUUAGGUUGGGAUAAGAUUUAUAAUUAUUAAAAUAAUUCAAGUCAAAAUAUAGCUUUUUUAAGAAUUAAUAUGGGUUACAAUUAAUUAAAUUAAUGUUGGAUUAAUAAAAUUUAAUUUUUUUUAAGAAAUUGGAUUUAAAAGUAAAUUUAAUAAAUUUAUUAAGUUGAAUAAUUAAAAUAAGUAUGU
rnacentral:rRNA from 1 species